AACGCGAAGAACCUUACCUACCCUUGACAUGUCCAGAAUCCUGCAGAGAUGCGGGAGUGCCCGAAAGGGAGCCGGGACACAGGUGCUGCAUGGCUGUCGUCAGCUCGUGUCGUGAGAUGUUGGGUUAAGUCCCGCAACGAGCGCAACCCUUGCCAGUAGUUGCCACAUUCAGUUGGGCACUCUACUGGGACUGCCGGUGACAAACCGGAGGAAGGUGGGGAUGACGUCAAGUCCUCAUGGCCCUUAUGGGUAGGGCUUCACACGUCAUACAAUGGUCGGUACAGAGGGUUGCCAAGCCGCGAGGUGGAGCCAAUCCCAGAAAGCCGAUCGUAGUCCGGAUCGGAGUCUGCAACUCGACUCCGUGAAGUCGGAAUCGCUAGUAAUCGCGGAUCAGCAUGUCGCGGUGAAUACGUUCCCGGGUCUUGUACACACGC
rnacentral:rRNA from 1 species